rnacentral:rRNA from 1 species
CCAAUAGCGUAUAUUAAAGUUGUUGCAGUUAAAAAGCUCGUAGUUGAAUUUCAGGCCUGGCUGGACGGUCCGCCCUUCGGGUGAGUACUGUCUGUGGUCGGGUCCUACCUUCUGGCGAAGCGUCAUGGCCUUAACCGGCCGUGGCGGGGAACCAGGACUUUUACUGUGAAAAAAUUAGAGUGUUCAAAGCAGGCAAUCGCUUGGAUACAUUAGCAUGGAAUAAUGGAAUAGGACAAUGGUUCUAUUUGUUGGUUUCUAGGACCGUUGUAAUGAUUAAUAGGGAUAGUUGGGUGCAUUAGUAUUCAAUUGUCAGAGGUGAAAUUCUUGGAUUUAUUGAAGACUAACUACUGCGAAAGCAUUUGCCAAGGAUGUUUUCAUUAAUCAAGAACGAAAGUUAGGGGAUCGAAGACGAUCAGAUACCGUCGUAGUCUUAACCAUAAACUAUGCCGACUAGGAAUCGGGCGAUGUUGACAAAAUGACGCGCUCGGCACCUCAU